UCCUACGGGAGGCAGCAGUGAGGAAUAUUGGACAAUGGGCGCAAGCCUGAUCCAGCCAUGCCGCGUGCAGGAUGACGGUCCUAUGGAUUGUAAACUGCUUUUGCACAGGAAGAAACACUCCCUCGUGAGGGAGCUUGACGGUACUGUGAGAAUAAGGAUCGGCUAACUCCGUGCCAGC
rnacentral:rRNA from 1 species